CUAAUGUUUCCCCCUCACCCACACUGUCUCUCCUUCCCAUGGACCACAGCAUUCCCCUUGUGCAUCUCAAAGGCUGUUCAUUCUCUCUCUCUCUCAUUUCCUUUACAGCAUCCUUGUCUUUUGGGUCUUACCCUGCCCCAUUAUCUAGAGGCCAAAAAGAGAUAUUUCCUAAGGCCCUGCAUGGGUACCUUUGAACAAGGUAGGAGUCCACAGGGAUGGAGAGAAAUAACCAUAGAAAAAGGACACUGCUGGUUCACCCAGUGCUGAGCAGUGAGGGGAGGCCUCACUGGGGCUGAGAAAUGGGAGGAAGCAAUAUAUAAGAAAUUUAACAUUCAGUGCCUGAAAACAUGAUAACUUCCAUAUGUAUGAGAAACACCCUGGUGACACAACAAAUGCAAGACAUAAAAAACAAAAUGCAGUUACGAAGGAGUCAAUCAUGUAAGACAUGAGGUCGCUGUUUAAGACCUUCACUUGGAAAAACUGAGUCGGCGUCACCACUGUGGCGUGGAACAUCGUGCUUUUCCCCCUUUCUGGAGACUCAUAGUUGAACGGCUCUGUCGUUUUCAGUACCAUGACUGUCAGUGGG